GCAUCCAGCUCUCUGAUAGGCCGGGCAGGCUGGGCCAAUGAGAGGCCGUGGUGUUGGGGGGCCGUGUCCCCCACGUGUUGUGGGGAGCGAGCCGCGGAGCGCCGCGAGCUGCCGGCAUGUUGCGCCGCGAGGCCCGGCAGCGCCGGGAGUAUCUGCACCGGCGGGCGCAGGAGGAUCGGAUCCGCGCCAGCGAGAGCAAGAAGCAGCGACUCAAGCAGGCGCUGGAGGAGAAUCGGCUGCUGCCCACGGAGCUGCGUCGGGAGGCUCUGGCACUGCAGAAGUCCAUCGAGUUUGAUGACCAGGGAGCAGAAGGGCUGGUGACGCAGCAGGACGAUGAGUAUCGCUGGGCGGGCGUGGAGGACCCCAAGGUGAUGAUCACGACCUCGCGCGACCCCAGCUCCCGCCUCAAGAUGUUCGCCAAGGAGAUGAAGCUGGUGGUGCCGGGCGCCCAGCGCAUGAACCGGGGGCGACACGAGGUGGGGGCCCUGCUCCGGGCCUGCAAGGCCAAUGGCGUCACGGACCUGCUGGUGCUGCAUGAACACCGAGGGCAGCCGGACGGACUGAUCGUCUCCCACCUGCCCUUCGGCCCCACAGCGUUCUUCACCCUCUGCAAUGUGGUGAUGCGUCACGAGGUCCCCGACAUCGGCACCAUGUCCGAGGCCAACCCCCACCUGAUCUUCCACAACUUCACCUCCCACCUGGGCCAGAGGGUCUGCAGCAUCCUCAAGUACCUCUUCCCGGUGCCCAAGGAGGACAGCAAGCGGGUCAUCACCUUCGCCAACCAGGACGAUUACAUCUCCUUCAGGCACCACGUUUAUAAGAAGACGGACCAUCGCAACAUCGAGCUGUCUGAGGUGGGGCCGCGCUUCGAGAUGAAACGCUACAUUGGCAGCUGCUGCAGUAUUUAGGUCCGGGCUGCCCCAGAGGUGGCUACAUCCCAGCACCUGGCGAGCCCUCCCUGGGCAGUGUUACAUGCGGCUGCUCCCCCCGCUGCCGCACGCCCGAGGUGGCUGCAUCUGGCCGGUCACUCACCGACGAUGUCGAAAAUGCUGAAAUUCGGGGGGAUGCUCUGAAAAACGGGAGAAGGCUCGUGAGUCCGGCAGGGGGCAGCCGCGGGUCAGACACACGCCCACGCACGGACCUAUGCUCACGGACACACACGGUACCUGCUGGAGGAGGAGGUGUCUCACGUGCUCCAGGAUGCAGAUCACGCCGGUCCGGCCACAGCCAGCGCUGCCAAGGGGGAGGAAGCAGGAAGAAAAUGGGGAAGGAAAUUUAUCAACGAGACGGAGCCGGAAGACGAAUUUCUCUCCAUGGUGCAUGUAGCAGUGAAAUGACGCUCGCAUAGUCUUGGGCAUUACCCCGGGCAACGCACUGGCGAGGAAGAGGGACUAGCCGGCCGGCAGAAGAGCGUGUCCGUGUUUCUGUGACUCCCUCAGGUGGCCAGCCUGUCUUGGGAGAAAGUGAGGGAAGAUAACCUCGUAGGAGUGCGUGAAGAGAAGCAGCAGGAAACACAGAAGGUGCUAAGCCCCUUGCAGGAUUUCAGGAGAUGAUGGAGCUUCAGCCCCGUGCCCGGCCUUCAGGCCCCGGCUCGUGAAAUGGCGGCGCGGCAUUCUGCCGUGAAAAGCCUCGCCCGUUGGCUUCCACACGGUCUUGACGGCUCUGAUGGAACGAAAAGAUGAGGCCAUCCUGAUUCCGCACCCAGGGGCCUACGCAUGGCGGAGAGCUUCCCAACAGGGCCGGGGCAGCGCCCGCAGGAUCCUGGAUCUGGGGGCGCGGCCCGAGAGUGGCAUUUUAGGGAGGGGAACGCGAGCGUGGGCAGUUACUGGUGAAAGUGAUGCAUAAAGCCCCUCGUCACACGAGGCCGCGCCGCAGGCCAUGUGGCAAGUGGUGUCCCCCCCGCUUCUGAGUCGUGCCAAGAGCCGCAAACCGAAGCCCCUGGAUUUUGCAAAUCCUGCGGAAGAUUAUGACAAACCUUGUUGCCAGCAGUUUCCGGGAGCCGGUGGCAUCCACGUGGGCAGCUGUCCCAGUCCUGGCGCGGGUCCUACCCUUCGCCAGCGCUCAACAGGAUGGAAUUUAGAGGCCGUCAGAAGAACACGUCCUGUUCUUUCACCAACGUGCCCAUGUAAGGUCUGCCCAACGGGGAUCUAUGUACUUAGUGGAAAGGAACCAGCCCCGACUUGAAGGGUUCAAUCAGGUGGAUAUCUGCGGACCACCGCGGACUGCAUGCAGAUACCAAUUUUAUUUCCAGGCAGGGCUCUAUGGAUCCGGCGCGCUCCCAAGCGUGGCUCAGUGCCACUGAGAAAAGAAAAGGAAUUAUAGGGCGACCAGACAGCAAGUGUGAAAAAUCGGGACGGGGGUAGGGGGUAAUAGGAGCCUAUAUAAGAAAAAGACUCAAAAAUCAGGACAUCUGGUCGCCCAGGUAUCCCAGGAACUGGGGCAGUGCUCAGCAGCCAGGCUCUCGCCUGUAAUCUACGUGCCCAAACCAGAAAACCGUUUGGCCUUGGGCUUGAUCACCAAACAGCUUGCAACCACGCUGCCCCACCGGCGGGAAAGCAGCGCCGCCCCGUGGGGGGAAAUGGAGCGGCUCACGACGCUUCCGAGUAUUCGCAGCGCCGGAUUUGGCUGCACAGACCCAUUCAGGAAACUCUGGGUGCAGAACGAUUUGGCCAGGAGCCACCGAAUCGCUCUGUGCGGGGAACGGGCUGGUGAGGGCGGGGGAGCGUCCGCACCAAAUUCCGCGACCCACUGGAAAAGACGAGGGGCAGGUGCAGCCUAGGAAGUUAGAUCGGCCCAGCUCCAUCACCGGCUUCUGCGCAAGGAACGACGCGACAGACGUGCUCCGCAGUCAAUCAGGAAAAUCAUCGAGGACCGACCUGUUCCGCUCCUUGGCCCAUCCCGGAAAUACCCCCGAUCCGGUGCAGAACUCCAAGCCCACGCUCCGUGGCACACAGCAAUCUUCAGAUCCGGGGCCUCGAAGAAGCCUGCUGCGGGGACAAGCGAGACGCGAGCUGACCCCGCAGAGUAGGCUGAGAGGCUGCGAUACGGUUUCCUGUAUUGGUGGGCGCAGCAAGAAAUCGGCUUGGAGAACAUCCCUGGAGAAACGCGAGUGGCUAAAGGAACUUGCAGAAGGACGACCUACGGAGGGAAACCGGCCUCUCCGCACGAAAGGUCACGGCACCGAUCCCACGCCACCCUCAGGCUGGGCCACACGCAACGGAGAACCGGCACCCACGCGAGUGUCCCUGCAGCCGAUCCCUGGCGGCGGUGUGGAAAUUGCAAACUGUGGAUCCGUAAAUCACAAUGCUGGAGGUGUGGACAAGGCACAUCGGCACGCACCGCAGCCUGCAAAUGCAAGGGGUACGCCGGCACGUAUAGGAACGGUUCAAUUAUGCCUGUCUGAGCAACGUGCGGGGUGCGUCGCGUUCGUAGUGGAAUAAAAACGGCACCGAAAUUUGCUAAUUCCUCAAAUUCUGAGGAACAUCCGAUGAAGUGAGCUGUAGCUCACGAAAGCUCAUGCUCAAAUAAAUUGGUUAGUCUCUAA